rnacentral:misc_RNA from 1 species
GAUGAAGAACGUAGCGAAAUGCGAUAAGUAAUGCGAAUUGCAGAAUUUCCGUGAGUCAUCGAAUCUUUGAACGCACAUUGCGCCCACUGGUAUUCCGGUGGGCAUGCCUGCUCGAGCGUCAUUAUCCUCCCUCAAACCCCGGGUUUGGUGUUGGACCGAAGUUGUGUGAACAACUGGUCUAAAAAACAAUGACGGCGUCCGUGGGACCCUCGGUGCAACGAGCUUUUAGGAGCACGCGCCGAGUUGCAAGGACCUUCCGGGCCGGUCUCCUUUUACUAUUUUACAAGGUUGACCUCGGAUCAGGUAGGAAUACCCGCUGAACUUAAGCAUAUCAAUAAGCGGUGGA